rnacentral:rRNA from 1 species
GACGGAGGGUGCUAGCGUUGUUCGGAAUGACUGGGCGUAAAGGGCGCGUAGGCGGCUCGUGAAGUCGGGUGUGAAAGCCCGGGGCUCAACCCCGGAACGGCAUCCGAUACUGGCGGGCUUGAGACCGGGAGAGGAGGGUGGAAUACCCAGUGUAGAGGUGAAAUUCGUAGAUAUUGGGAAGAACACCGGUGGCGAAGGCGGCAACCUGGUCCUUUACUGACGCUGAGGCGCGAAAGCGUGGGGAGCAAACAGG